GUUAUUAAGGGCGCAUGGUGGAUGCCUUGGCAUGCUGAGCCGAUGAAGGACGUGAAAGGCUGCGUUAAGCCUCGGGGAGUUGUCAAUUGAGCGUUGAUCCGAGGAUGUCCGAAUGGGGAAACCUGGCCCUGGUUAUGUGGGGUUACCCUUCAGUGAAUUCAUAGCUGUUGUGGGGGUUUACGCGGGGAAGUGAAACAUCUCAGUACCCGUAGGAGGAGAAAAUAAUAAUGAUUCUGCUAGUAGUGGCGAACGAACGUGGAUGAGGCUAAACCGUGUGCAUGUGAUACCUGGUAGGGGUUGUGUGUGCGGUGUUGUGGGCCCUAAUUGGCGGUGACUACCAUCAUCGUGCUCGUGUGUUGUUGUUAGGUGAAGUGGUUUGGAAUGGCCUGCCGGAGUAGGUGAGAGUCCUGUACCUGAAGAUGAUGAUGUGUGGGUUGUUGGGUUGCCCGAGUAGCAGCGGGCUCGUGGAAUCUGCUGUGAAUCUGCCGGGACCACCCGGUAAGCCUAAAUACUCAGUGUGACCGAUAGUGUAUGAGUACCGUGAGGGAAUGGUGAAAAGUACCCCGGGAGGGGAGUGAAAGAGUUCCUGAAACCGGUCGCAUGCAAGCCGUCAGAGCCUGUGUGGUGAUGGCGUGCCUUUUGAAGAAUGAGCCUGCGAGUCAGCGGCAUGUCGCGAGGUUAACCCGUGUGGGGUAGUCGUAGCGAAAGCGAAUGCUAAUUGUGUGUUUAGUGGCAUGUCCUGGACCCGAAGCGGGGUGAUCUACCCAUGGCCAGUGUGAAGCAGCUGUAAGAGGUUGUGGAGGCGCGAACCCACGUAGGUUAAAAACUGCGGGGAUGAGCUGUGGGUAGGGGUGAAAGGCCAAUCAAACUCCGUGAUAGCUGGUUCUCCCCGAAAUGCAUUUAGGUGCAGCGUCACGUGUUUCUUGCCGGAGGUAGAGCACUGGAUAGCUAAUGGGCCUUACCAGGUUACU
rnacentral:rRNA from 1 species